rnacentral:rRNA from 1 species
ACCUGGUUGAUCCUGCCAGUUGUCAUAUGCUUGUCUCAAAGAUUAAGCCAUGCAAUUGUAAUUAUAAAUAGACAGAUUGUACUAUGAGAAUGAGAAUGGCUCAUUAAAUCAGCAAUGAUUUCUUCGGUGGAAGAAGUGAUUCUAAAUGGAUAACUCUUGGGAAAGCUAGAGCUAAUACAUGCAAAGAGAGUUCCGUAGAGGAAAGCGUAUAUUAGAAUAUAAAGCCAACUAUCAAAAGAGAGGGUGAAUCAUAAUAUUCAAGUAGAUCGCAAAAGACGCAAGUCGGGCGAUGAACCGAUCAAAUUUCUGCUCUAUCAACUGGAUAUCAGUGUAGGGAACUGAUAUGGUGAUCACGGGUGACGGAGAAUUAGGGUUUGAUUCCGGAGAGGGGGCACGAGAAAUGGCCACCACUUCUAAGGAAGGCAGCAGGCGCGCAAAUUACUCAAUCCUAACACAGGGAAGUAGUGACAAAAUAUAACAAUGAAGGUAUUUCAAUAUCUUUUUUGGAAUGAGAACAAUUUAAAUCUCUUAUCGAGAAACGAUUGGAGGGUAAGCUCUGGUGCCAGCAGCCGCGGUAAUUCCAGCUCCAAUAGUGUAUACGAAUGUUGUUGCAGUUAAAAAGCUCGUAGUUGGAAUGAACUUUUUUAAAAAUUAAUUAAAUAUGAUAAAUAUUUAUUUGAUUUUUAAAAAAAAUUAAAUUUUUUUUAUAAUUAAAUUUAUUUAAUUAUAAAUAAUUUACUUUGAAUAAAUUAGAGUGUUUCAAGCAAUCUAAUUAAAUAUAGAAAUAUAUUUAAUUGUUUUUUGAUUUGAAUAAUAAAGCAUGGAAUAAUAAAAGAGGAUUUGAAAGAAAACUAUAGUUUUGGUUGGUUUAAUUUUUUUUAAAUCAUGAUCAAUAGGAAUGGUUGGGGGUCUUGGUAUUGAAUAGGAAGCGGUGAAAUGCGAGGAUCUAUUCAAGACGAACAACAGCGAAAGCAUUGGCCAAAGACAUUUCCAUUAAUCAAGAACGAAAGUUUGGGGAUCGAAGAUGAUCAGAUACCGUCGUAGUCCAAACCAUAAAUGUUGCCGACCAAGCAUGAGAGGGUCGUGAUUUUUAGCGAUAGAAAUAAACCCCUUUUGAACUUUGGAGGGAAACCUGAGUGAUUGGGUUCUGGGGGGAGUACGGUAGCAAGGCUGAAACUUGAAGGAAUUGACGGAAGGGCACCACAAGGUGUGGAACCUGCGGCUUAAUUCGACUCAACACGGGAAAACUCACCAGGUCAGGACAGUAAAAGGAUUGACAGAUUAAAGUUCUUUCUUGAUUUAUUGGUUGGUGGUGCAUGGCCGUUCUUAGUUCGUGGUUUGAACUGUCUACUUGAUUGUGAUAACGAACGAGACCUUGAUUUAUUAAUUAGUUGAUCAUAGAUUUAAUUCAUUAAAUUUAUUGAUUUAAUAAAAUAUAUCAUUAUAUUUUAAUUUGACUUCUUAAAAGAACUCCAUAUGUUAAAUAUGAGGAAGUGAAAGGCAAUAACAGGUCUGUGAUGCCCUUAGAUGUCCUGGGCUGCACGCGCGUUACACUGAAUGAUUCAAAAAGUUUAUUAAAUCAAAAAACAUGUAACAAUGUUUUUUAAUUUUAUUCUUGUAUAGAUAUAUAUGAGUAAACUCGAACGUCAUUCGUGAUUGGGAUUGUCAAUUGCAAUUAUUUGACAUGAACGAGGAAUACCUAGUAAGCAUGUGUCAUCAACGCAUGCUGAUUACGUCCCUGCCCUUUGUACACACCGCCCGUCGCUGCUACCGAUGGAUGUUCCGAUGAAAUAUUAGGAAUUGAAAAAGACCUCUUUUUCCCAAUGAAUUCUAUUAAAUCUUAUCAUUUAGAGGAAGCAGAAGUCGUAACAAGGUAUCCGUAGGUGAACCAGCGGAAG